UACGUAGGGUGCGAGCGUUAAUCGGAAUUACUGGGCGUAAAGCGUGCGCAGGCGGUUUGCUAAGACCGAUGUGAAAUCCCCGGGCUCAACCUGGGAACUGCAUUGGUGACUGGCAGGCUAGAGUAUGGCAGAGGGGGGUAGAAUUCCACGUGUAGCAGUGAAAUGCGUAGAGAUGUGGAGGAAUACCGAUGGCGAAGGCAGCCCCCUGGGCCAAUACUGACGCUCAUGCACGAAAGCGUGGGGAGCAAAC
rnacentral:rRNA from 2 species